CUUAGAUUUUAUUGUUUCCAUAUAUAUAAAGAGCUUAUACCGGUGUUUUUUAUAAUUCAUUUGACUUCUGCAGACCGUAGUUCUUCCAAAAUGAAUCAGAUGGCAAAUGAUGGUCAUAAUCAAGAAGCAGCCCAGCCAAGGAAUGUCUUAGGUGUUCUUAAUCCUUCCAAAGUGAAUGGAUCAUUGUGGUUCAAACGUGAUUCAAUCACUAGUGAGAUAAGAACAAUCAUUCGAUCUGAUUAUCCUAGCCCAUAUAUAUCGAAACUGGUCAACUGCACCGCAACACGUAAAAGAUUGAUGGUGGUACUUAUUUAAGGUAUAUCAAAGAAAGGCUGAGCAAACUUGAAAGCUUGGAAAAAUGAUAGCGAUCCUUUGUCCAGCUAUUCUAUCGAGGAUGUCAGCUAUUCUAUGGAGGGAUGUCAACAACUAAGUUUUACUUGACUGCUUUUGUUAUUUUUU